AGUGAACGCUGGCGGUAGGCCUAACACAUGCAAGUCGAACGGCAGCACAGUAAGAGCUUGCUCUUACGGGUGGCGAGUGGCGGACGGGUGAGGAAUACAUCGGAAUCUACUUUUUCGGGGGGGAUAACGUAGGGAAACUUACGCUAAUACCGCAUACGACCUACGGGUGAAAGCAGGGGAUCUUCGGACCUUGCGCGAUUGAAUGAGCCGAUGUCGGAUUAGCUAGUUGGCGGGGUAAAGGCCCACCAAGGCGACGAUCCGUAGCUGGUCUGAGAGGAGGAUCACCCACAUUGGAACUUGGCCACGGUCCAGGCUCCUGCGGGAGGCAGCAGUCGGGAAUAUUGGACAAUGGUCGCAAGCCUGAUCCAGCCAUACCGCGUGGGUUAAGAAGGCCUUCGGUUUGUAAAGCCCUUUUGUUGGGAAAGAAAAGCAGCAGGUUAAUACCCCGCUGUUCUGACGGUACCCAAAGAAUAAGCACCGGCUAACUUCGUG
rnacentral:rRNA from 1 species